rnacentral:rRNA from 1 species
UGACAGCAGAAUGACCACCUUCUAAUCUGAUCUCUUCAGACCUCAGAAUCUGAACAGGUUGGGUCUGGUUGAUACUGGGAUGGAAGACCUCCAAGGAAAACCAGGCUGCUGGUGG